UGGGGAAUUUUGGACAAUGGGGGAAACCCUGAUCCAGCCAUCCCGCGUGUGCGAUGAAGGCCUUCGGGUUGUAAAGCACUUUUGGCAGGAAAGAAACGUCGCGGGUUAAUACCCCGCGAAACUGACGGUACCUGCAGAAUAAGCACCGGCUAACUACGUGCCAGCAGCCGCGGUAAUACGUAGGGUGCAAGCGUUAAUCGGAAUUACUGGGCGUAAAGCGUGCGCAGGCGGUUCGGAAAGAAAGAUGUGAAAUCCCAGAGCUUAACUUUGGAACUGCAUUUUUAACUACCGGGCUAGAGUGUGUCAGAGGGAGGUAGAAUUCCGCGUGUAGCAGUGAAAUGCGUAGAUAUGCGGAGGAACACCGAUGGCGAAGGCAGCCUCCUGGGAUAACACUGACGCUCAUGCACGAAAGCGUGGGGAGCAAACAGGAUUAGAUACCCUGGUAGUCCACGCCCUAAACGAUGUCAACUAGCUGUUGGGGCCUUCGGGCCUUGGUAGCGCAGCUAACGCGUGAAGUUGACCGCCUGGGGAGUACGGUCGCAAGAUUAAAACUCAAAUGAAUUGACGGGGUCGAU
rnacentral:rRNA from 1 species